rnacentral:lncRNA from 1 species
AAGAACAAUGCAACAGAAUUGAAGUGCCUCUCAACUGAGAAAGAUCGGAAAGGCAGAUUCAAGACAAGAAUCAAAGGACUAGAGAGCAAAAUGAAGAAAUUUUUGACAAAUGACAAGGAUCCGAAGCAGAGACCAAAUUACCAACCAGCAACAAUAUAAUUCAAUUCAACAGAGACCAAAUUACCCACCAGAAUCCAGCAACAAUACAAUUCAAAAACUACUCUAAAAAAUCAAAUUUAUCAACAGAUUCCAUAACAAUAGGUCAAUAGCAGAGGCACUGACCUGAGGGAGCAGAGGAACUGAGGCCAGAGACUGUGAGUGACGGAGAGGUGAGGCCGCAAAAGCGUUCUGAGCUUUCUGAGCUAGUUGAUGAACAACACUGAUGAGGACCACCCGAGACUGAGAGUGACGACGAGAGGUGAGGCCGCGACUUGAUGAACAGCGCCGAUGAGAGGUGAGGCCGUGACUUGAUGAACAGCGCCGACGAGAGGUGAGGCCGCGACUUGAUGAACAGAGCCGACGAGGACCACGCGAGACUGAGCGUGACGACGACGAGGUUGGCAGGGGGGGUGACGACGAGGACGACGCGAGACUGAGAGUGACGACGAGGUUGAUGAACUUAGACUCUCAAAGUCUCAGAGAGUCUGAGAAGUGAGAAGUGAGAACUCUUCUCAGACGCCAUUAGGGAGAUCAGGAGAUGUGAGGUGAGGGCGUGAGGGCGAGGCAAUGGGGGAAGGGGGGAUAGCCAUUAGGGUUU